AAAAAUGUUACAUGCACCUCUUCUUUCAUACUACUAUAUAGAUGAAUAAAGGGAAUAAUGGGUUCAAGUGUGAGUGAUUUAUCUCACAUCGAUUAUGAAUGAAUAGUUGGUUCAUAUUCUUAAUAUUGUAAAGGCUUGAAUCAAAAUAAUAUCAAGCUCUCUUGUUGAUCUGAAUAGAUGUUGCUCUUAGAACUCCUUCGAAUUCUUCAACAAGUGGUAUAUGUCUUGGUUCAACUUUGUGGAGGAAUAGGAGUGGAUCCUAGAAUUUUGGAUCCUUGUUUUGAGAGUCUUCUCGAGGGUAAAGUACAAAGACAUGUUCUAUUUGUUGCAAGUAUGGAAUGUAGAAGACUCAUAUUUGAGGAAGAGAUUGUUAGAUUGAAGUAAAUAUAUAAGAGAGACGACUUAUACAAUCAAUAUCUUAAGAUUUUUGAUAGACAUAUGAUGUAAAUAUUAAAUGUAUAAAAAAAGACGAUUCAUAUUAUCAAUAUAUUAAAGUUUUGGUUGGUUC
rnacentral:lncRNA from 1 species